UACGUAGGGGGCGAGCGUUGUCCGGAGUUACUGGGCGUAAAGCGCUUGUAGGCGGUCCACCAAGUUUGGGGUGACAGUUGCCGACUUAAUCGGCAAAGUGCCUCAAAAACUGGCGGACUUGAGGGCCACAGAGGGACAUGGAACUCCAGGUGUAGUGGUGAAAUGCGUAGAUAUCUGGAAGAACACCAAAGGCGAAGGCAGUGUCCUGGGUGGUCGCUGACGCUGAGAGGCGAAAGCCAGGGGAGCGAACGGG
rnacentral:rRNA from 1 species